GUCUAUGGCCAUACCACCCUGAACGCACCUGAUCUCGGAAGCUAAGCAGGUUUGGGCCUGGUUAGUACUUAGAUGGGAGACCGCCUGGAAAUAACGGGUGCUGUAGGCU
ensembl:rRNA 5S_rRNA 5S ribosomal RNA